rnacentral:rRNA from 1 species
UACAGGGGGUGCAAACGUUGCUCGGAAUCACUGGGCGUAAAGGGCGCGUAGGCGGAUCUUUAAGUCGGGGGUGAAAGCCCAGGGCUCAACCCUGGAAUUGCCUUCGAUACUGAAGAUCUCGAGACCGGAAGAGGUAAGUGGAACUGCGAGUGUAGAGGUGAAAUUCGUAGAUAUUCGCAAGAACACCAGUGGCGAAGGCGGCUUACUGGUCCGGUUCUGACGCUGAGGCGCGAAAGCGUGGGGAGCAAACAGG